rnacentral:rRNA from 1 species
UACGUAGGGUGCGAGCGUUGUCCGGAAUUAUUGGGCGUAAAGAGCUUGUAGGCGGUUUGUCGCGUCUGCCGUGAAAGCCCAGGGCUUAACCCUGGGUCUGCGGUGGGUACGGGCAGACUAGAGUGUGGUAGGGGAGACUGGAAUUCCUGGUGUAGCGGUGAAAUGCGCAGAUAUCAGGAGGAACACCGAUGGCGAAGGCAGGUCUCUGGGCACUACUGACGCUGAGAAGCGAAAGCAUGGGGAGCA